GACGAAGGUGGCAACCGUUGCUCGGAUUCACUGGGCAUAAAGCGCACGUAGGUGGCUUGGUAGGUCGCUGGUGAAAUCCCCCGGCUCAACCGGGGAACGGCCGGCGAAACCGCCUUGCUUGAGGUCGGGAGGGGAGAAUGGAACUCCUGGUGUAGCGGUGAAAUGCGUAGAUAUCAGGAGGAACGCCGGUGGCGAAAGCGAUUCUCUGGACCGAUCCUGACACUGAUGUGCGAAAGCUAGGGGAGCAAAC
rnacentral:rRNA from 1 species